UACGGAGGGGGCGAGCGUUAUUCGGAAUUAUUGGGCGUAAAGGGCGCGUAGGCGGCUGUACAAGUCAAAGGUGAAAUCCCUCGGCUCAACUGAGGAACUGCCUUUGAAACUGUACGGCUUGAGGCCGGGAGGGGGUAGCGGAAUUCCCAAUGUAGCGGUGAAAUGCGUAGAUAUUGGGAGGAACACCAGUGGCGAAGGCGGCUACCUGGACCGGUUCUGACGCUGAGGCGCGAAAGCGUGGGUCGCGAAUGGG
rnacentral:rRNA from 1 species